CGAGGUCGACAUGGCACACGGUUACGCUUUUAGCGUGCAAAGAUACCGUGAGAAUUAUCGUUUCUAGAUACAUAUAAUUAAGAUUCACAAUGAAACAUACUAAAUGAAAAUGAUAUAGAGCUGCAAUGAUAUUAGUGAAACAGUAAAGGUCAACUUUUACUAAUUAUCGUUUGAGCAGAGGGGACUUAAUACCGCAGGAAUAUAAAUUUAUUAAAUAACUUCCAUUAAUAUGUAUAGCUUCUUAACUCUAAAAUAACCAGCUUUUAUAGUGAAGAUAAAGUAGGUAUAUUUUCCGAUCUUAAUAAAAAUCAACACUAAUUUGCUUAUAUAAUGUUCUUAGUUAUUGCAAGAUAAAAAAGAAAAGUAAAAUCCAUCGCCACAAGCAUUUUGAUUUUUCUAUGGUUUAAUUUAUGAUUGCACGAUACAUAGAUACAUAUAUUGUACUCAUCUAAUAUCGGAGUAACCACAGAUUGAUUACAAGGAAAAUUUAUGAUAGAGCAACAGGAAAGCACAGAAGGAAAGGAAACACUAUCCUUUAUGGGUUUUCAGAACGCGAGUCAGAAUUUACGUCAUUGUGAUUUCCAAGAGACCGGUUCCUCGGUACUGAUCUUUCUUAGUACACGUUUUACGCGUACGUCAAACACCAAUUUCGCGAGAUCAUACUUAAUUUUGACUUUUAUACAUUCUAUCUUCUCUACGUAAGCAUCAUGAAAGAUGCACAACUCGAAGAAACCUAUAUAUUUUUAUUUCCUAUUUAUCAAGACAUUCCUAAAACGCUAUGGAAAUAUAGUAGAGUUAUUAUGAAAACACACGUAUAAUCGUCAUUUUCAGAUGCAAGCGAUGACCUUGAAAACAGCGACAUAACAAGAUCUCGAUAGCCCUAUAAGUACUGUUGGUAAUUAAUAGCGACAAUGAUAAAAGCGAUGGUGGUCGCAUGCAACUGGCCAUUCCCUGUUUCAGUAAUUAAGUUUCAACGUCGAUGAGGUUAUCAUGAUAUUCCGGCUAGGCUAUUAGUCUACAAGGGGACCUGAAGGUGGAAUGAGUAAAGUUACUAUACGUCUAUUAUAGUUUGUGAUAAUAUAUUAGAAUCCGUUAACUGACUAGCAAGUUACAUAUGACUUACACUUACUUAUUGCCUCCUACUCGUUACUUGUUCUAUUCUCCUACUAUUUCUGUUAAUUGUACAAUACUUUUACAGGACUGCCUUUCGAACUACGCUUUUUUAAAAUAAGGAACUAUGACAAAAAUAAAUUAUGAUUAAUAAGUUAGUCAAUUCAAGCUGCAAUGACAUUGUACCUAUAUAUAUAUAUAUAUAUGUAUCGAAAAGUAUACUUUAAACGAGUCUUUGCAGUUUGCAUUACUGAAUGAAUAAAGCAUAAAUCUUUGUUUUAUCUAAACGAUCUACGCGAAAAAAUAAUGCGUUGGCUCAUAUUAUUUUCUAUACGACGAUAGCGUAUCUAUCGAACUGUACAAAAGCGCGCAAAGUUACAUUUCUCGUCCGUAUUCAUAGUUGCACUACUGAAACUCGUCUGAUUGUGAGAUCAAUUGACCUUCACUACUUGCAAUCAAUACAAAGCUGCUGUUGGUACAUCGCGAAGUAUCUGACAUCCCAAAAACCUCGCUGAAUAUGUUCAACGAAACGAUAAAAUUUCGCCUUGUUACAAGAGUCUACUUGAAAUCCAUGAAGAAGGAAAAUACUCUCGACGUUCCAUUGUGCGGAUUUUAUUAACGUUCGUCUAACGAUUUAACGAGCGUGAAGCUUUUUGCACCGGUUUAGAGGUUGCGUUAUAAAGAGGGAAAAACUAAAGGAAAGGCGACGUAUAGAAAACUAAAGUGUAUCGGUGAAGAAUUCGAGGUCAUUCUCAUGUAACAACAACAGCGAAUCAAUGCCAGAGGAAUGUACGAUGAUAGGCACGCGAAGAAUGGAUCUACCCCGAAUCAUUUAAGCAUAGAGUCAUAAAAGCGAGAGCUCUCUAGCAAAAAUCACUGUUCCAUCAUAAUUUACUUCUUUAUGUAAUAGCAAUAGAUAGGAGAUAAUCAAUACAAUAUCUUUCUUUUAAUAAUUAUUUUAAUUAUUUAAAAAUCGAUCUCGGAGAUAGUAAGAUUUCAUUUCUACAAAUGAUAAUUUUUAAAUAAAUAAUAAACAGUAAGGA